rnacentral:lncRNA from 1 species
GCUGUUUUCCUUUAGUGGUGUUACGUGAACGUCGACUACAUAACACUUCACCAUUAUUUGGGCCUAUAGGAAGGCAUUCAGAAGUAGUAAGUAGAUGAUGGGUUGCUAGAGUGACAGAUGCUUAAACCCUAGUUUAUGCGUUGCUUCGUAAGGGGCUGAUUUGGAUCCACUAGUUUAAUGCUAGGGUUAGACUUUGUCUUAAUUCUUCUUUCGUAGUUGCGGAUGCUUGCGAGAGGGGUUAAUCAUAAGUGGGAUGCUUGUCCAAGUAAGGGCAGUACCCAAGCGCUGGCCACCCACAU